rnacentral:rRNA from 1 species
UAGUAGUCAUACGCUCGUCUCAAAGAUUAAGCCAUGCAUGUGUAAGUGUAAAUAUACUAGUUUGGAACUGCGAAUGGCUCAUUAUAUCAGUUAUAGUUUAUUUGGUGAAGUGUACUACUUGGAUAACCGUAGUAAUUCUAGGGCUAAUACAUGAGAAAGUCCUCUGGUGAGGUGUGUUUAUUAGAAUGAAAACCAUAUGCUUCGGCAUGAUAGUGAGUAAUAGUAACCUAUCGUAUCGCAUGCUUAAUGUAGCGAUGAGUCUUUCAAGUUUCUGCCCUAUCAGCUUUCGAUGGUAGUAUAUGGGCCUACCAUGGCAGUAACGGGUAACGAAUAA